rnacentral:rRNA from 1 species
GAUGAACGCUGGCGGCGUGCCUAAUACAUGCAAGUCGAGCGAACAGAUGAGGAGCUUGCUCCUCUGACGUUAGCGGCGGACGGGUGAGUAACACGUGGAUACCCUACCUAUAAGACUGGGAUAACUUCGGGAAACCGGAGCUAAUACCGGAUAAUAUAUUGAACCGCAUGGUUCAAUAGUGAAAGACGGUUUUGCUGUCACUUAUAGAUGGAUCCGCGCCGCAUUAGCUAGUUGGUAAGGUAACGGCUUACCAAGGCAACGAUGCGUAGCCGACCUGAGAGGGUGAUCGCCCACACUGGAACGGAAACACGGACCAUACUCCUACGGGAGGCAGCAGUAGGGAAUCUGCCGCAAUAGGGGAAAGCCUGACGGAGCAACGCCGCGUGAGUUAUGAAAGUCUUCGGAUCGUAAAACUCUGUUAUUAGUUAAGAACAAAUUUGUAAGUAACUAUGCACUUCUUGACGGUACCUAAUCAGAAAGCCACGGCUAACUACGUG